rnacentral:lncRNA from 1 species
UAUUACUGAUGACAACAUUGCACUCUAAAUCAAGGAUUUAAGUAUCAUGACACAGAAUCGUGCUGAAAAUUUGCCUACAUGGCAUGAUACUGUGCAUGCUGAGCCGUGCUGAUACGUGACAAUCAUAAAAAAUACAAGUGCACCGAUACAUGAUGGUAUUAAAUAUUUAUUUUUUUAAAAAAUAAAAUAUUAUAAUCAUCUUUAUCAAUUUUUUAAAAUUUUAUUGAAUAAAUUAGUUACUAAUUAAAAAAAGAGUUUUCAGCUGUGUUAUCGAUAUGAGAACUGUAUCGUGUCGAUAUCUUAUUAGUUAUAAUGCGAUACGAUAGAUAUCAUUUAAAUUCUUACUCCAAAUAUUAGUUAUAUAAAGUCAAACAUUAUUAUUAGAUUUCAACACUUUAAUUUUAACUCAAAAUAUUUUGCUCUAAUCUAUUCAUAUGUGUAUGUUAAGUGUCAACACAUUAAUAAUAUAAUACAGUAUUCAAAAAUGGAGUACCCAAAAUAU